GAUUAAAUGGCUGAAUUAUAGGCAAUAGAUUGUAAAUCUAUGUAUGAAGAUUUAACUUCUUUAAUCA
rnacentral:tRNA from 8 species